AUACGUAGGGGGCAAGCGUUAUCCGGAUUUACUGGGUGUAAAGGGAGCGUAGACGGAAUGGCAAGUCUGAUGUGAAAGGCCGGGGCUCAACCCCGGGACUGCAUUGGAAACUGUCAGGCUAGAGUGCAGGAGGGGUAAGCGGAAUUCCUAGUGUAGCGGUGAAAUGCGUAGAUAUUAGGAGGAACACCGGUGGCGAAGGCGGCUUACUGGACUGUAACUGACGUUGAGGUUCGAAAGCUUGGGGAGAAAACAGGAUUAGAUCCCCUGGUAGUCCACGCCGUAAACGAUGAAUACUAGGUGUUGGGUUCCAAUAGGGAUUCGGUGCCGCAGCUAACGCAAUAAGUAUUCCACCUGGGGAGUACGUUCUCAAGAAUGAAACUCAAAUGAAUUGACGUGG
rnacentral:rRNA from 1 species